GUCACAAUCUUUAACAUUUUCCUCCAGGCUCAACACCUCUAUGCUUUCGGAAAUUACGAGGAGACGUUCGACAAUCUCUUCCAGGCUCAACAACUCCUCCAUAAUCGGCUGCACCAGAGACGGCAUGCUAAUCCUUUAGAGUUUCUCCAAAUCUGAAAAUCGUACAACCACUCCCAAAGCUUAAAGUCCAGAUGCAGAGAAGCCAUUGAAGAAACAAAGAAAAAGAUAGAUAAAGAAAAUUCAAUUCUAUGAGAAAAAGAAAACAUCCGAAAUCAAUAUCGAGAAUCGAAAAAAGUUGAAGCAUCCACACACUGCUGGCAAAACAAGUUCUACUCUAAUCAUCGAGGAAAAAAAGAAGGAAAUGAUUGAUACUUCAGAUACUCUAUCAAGAUGAAAUGGAGAGAAUACAAUCAACUCAAGAAAGUGAAGAUGGCAGUGAUUCAGUUGACGUGUUUGCAUCAGUCAUGGGACCUGAGCACCCAGGUCGGGUAAGAUUGUAUGGACGAGGAGUUAACAAGACUGUCUUAAAAAAAAUGAAAGAUUUUGGAUCCUCUGUAAAUGCUACUGAUGAGAGAAUGCAAUAAAAAAAUAGAGAAAAUGGAAGAGAGGAUGCAACAAAGAAUGCUGGAAAAGUUCAAUGCACAAAAGGAAGCUAUGGAACAAGAUAUUAUGAUGAACGUCGUUAUACGACUUCAACGUAUCAACCCCGAUUUGAGACUUGAUCCUGGCAUGCUAAUAUUCAAUGCUCGUACACUUGGAGAAGCUUUUUCUGCACAAGUUGUUAUUCAACCAAUCAAUCGUCCAUCUACUGGCAGUAACAAUCAAGGGUCGAUUGGAGAUGGGGUUCACGCUGGUUUUCAGCUGGCUUCUCUGCUGGGAUUUGCCGUAUUUUUGGGUUGGUUUUGGAAGUAGAAUUGCUGAAUUUUGCAGAAGCUUUGGGAAGGUGGAGUAUAUGAUGAAAUGGAAGACAGAGGCAGUGAUGAAGAUCUAGACCUUACUUAAGAGAAUUUUGAAUUGCUAUAGAUGCAUGUGGCGGUUUCUAGGAAUGUUUGUUAUUAACAUUUUAAAACUUUUAACUCUUGAAAUAUCAAAUGUAUGUACUUGGUAACAUUUCAUCA